rnacentral:lncRNA from 1 species
GGCCGCGGAAGUGACACUUGAAAAUAAAUAUAUUAAGAUUGAAAUGACACACGAAAUAGUAACGUAUAUUCCUAUAGAUGAGAUGAUAACUAUUGAUAUUUUGUUGAAGAAAAGCUCACUGAUAGAAAAACUCGAUAGGUAAACCAGCUGUGUGACGAUUCAACAAGUCGAAAAAUGGGACGUUCAAAGGGGAAUAACUCGAUCCCUAAACAACAACAACACGACGGUGAUCAUAUUAUGACUGAACAAAUGUUUGCCC